rnacentral:rRNA from 1 species
UACAGAGGUCUCAAGCGUUGUUCGGAAUCAUUGGGCGUAAAGAGCGCGUAGGCGGCCCUGUAAGUCCGCUGUGAAAGUCAAGGGCUCAACCCUUGGAUGCCGGUGGAUACUGCAGGGCUAGAGUCCGGAAGAGGCGAGUGGAAUUCCUGGUGUAGCGGUGAAGUGCGCAGAUAUCAGGAGGAACACCGAUGGCGAAGGCAGCUCGCUGGGACGGUACUGACGCUGAGGCGCGAAAGCGUGGGGAGCAAACAGG